GACGAACGCUGGCGGCGUGCUUAACACAUGCAAGUCGAGCGGUAAGGCCCUUUCGGGGGUACACGAGCGGCGAACGGGUGAGUAACACGUGGGUGACCUGCCCUCAGCUCUGGGAUAAGCCUGGGAAACCGGGUCUAAUACCGGAUAUGACUCCAUGACGCAUGUUGUGGGGUGGAAAGCCUUGUGCGGCUGAGGAUGGGCCCGCGGCCUAUCAGCUUGUUGGUGGGGUGAUGGCCUACCAAGGCGACGACGGGUAGCCGGCCUGAGAGGGCGACCGGCCACACCGGGACUGAGACACGGCCCAAACUCCUACGGGAGGCAGCAGUGGGGAAUAUUGGACAAUGGGCGAAAGCCUGAUCCAGCCAUGCCGCGUGAGUGAUGAAGGCCUUAGGGUUGUAAAGCUCUUUACCCGGGAAGAUAAUGACGGUACCGGGAGAAUAAGCCCCGGCUAACUUCGUGCCAGCAGCCGC
rnacentral:rRNA from 1 species